rnacentral:rRNA from 1 species
AGUUGGUGGAGUGAUUUGUCUGGUUUAUUCCGUUAACGAACGAGACCUCAACCUACUAAAUAGUUUGGCGAACAACUUUGUUCGUACAAUACUUCUUAGAGGGACUAUCGGUGUGUAGCCGAUGGAGGUUUGAGGCAAUAACAGGUC